GGGUUGUGAGGUUAAGCGACUAAGCGUACACGGUGGAUGCCCUGGCAGUCAGAGGCGAUGAAGGACGUGCUAAUCUGCGAUAAGCGUCGGUAAGGUGAUAUGAACCGUUAUAACCGGCGAUUUCCGAAUGGGGAAACCCAGUGUGAUUCGUCACACUAUCAUUAACUGAAUCCAUAGGUUAAUGAGGCGAACCGGGGGAACUGAAACAUCUAAGUACCCCGAGGAAAAGAAAUCAACCGAGAUUCCCCCAGUAGCGGCGAGCGAACGGGGAGCAGCCCAGAGCCUGAAUCAGUGUGUGUGUUAGUGGAAGCGUCUGGAAAGGCGCGCGAUACAGGGUGACAGCCCCGUACACAAAAAUGCACAUACUGUGAGCUCGAUGAGUAGGGCGGGACACGUGGUAUCCUGUCUGAAUAUGGGGGGACCAUCCUCCAAGGCUAAAUACUCCUGACUGACCGAUAGUGAACCAGUACCGUGAGGGAAAGGCGAAAAGAACCCCGGCGAGGGGAGUGAAAAAGAACCUGAAACCGUGUACGUACAAGCAGUGGGAGCACGCUUAGGCGUGUGACUGCGUAC
rnacentral:rRNA from 1 species